rnacentral:rRNA from 1 species
UACGUAGGGUGCGAGCGUUGUCCGGAAUUAUUGGGCGUAAAGAGCUCGUAGGCGGUGUGCCGCGUCGGCCGUGAAAACCUGGGGCUCAACUCUGGGCGUGCGGUCGAUACGGGCAUCACUUGAGUUCGGUAGGGGAGACUGGAAUUCCUGGUGUAGCGGUGAAAUGCGCAGAUAUCAGGAGGAACACCGGUGGCGAAGGCGGGUCUCUGGGCCGAUACUGACGCUGAGGAGCGAAAGCGUGGGGAGCGAACAGG